UCUGAUACAUGGUGUUAUUCCAUUUUAUAAAACUCUUUUGAGGUUUGCUUUGAUAUCUAGUAUGUGGUCAGCUUUUGAGAAGGUUCCAUGAGGUGGUGAGAAGACGUGCCUGUGUUAAGAAUGUUCUAUUCAAAAAGUCCAUUCCUAUGCCAAUGGCUUCAAGAAUAUUCUCCACUUCCUCAUCUAUCAUGUUCAGUGUACCUGGUUUUAUGUUGAAGAUUUUGGCCCAGACUCAUCUUGGCUUUAGAAUUUCUAAGGUGAGAGACAAGAAUCAUGCUUCCAUCAUGACUGGGAAGCAUGACAGCAAGCAGUAGCUAUGGUGCCUGGAGCAGAGAGCUGAGAGGAAGCACACAUCUUCAACUGCAGUCCAAUGACAUACUUCCUCCAGCAAAACUGUACCUUCUAGAUCUUGUAAAACAGCAUCAAUUUUAAAGCAAAUGUUCAAAAAUAGUUGCUCCAUAGGAGAACGUUUCUUAUUCAAGUCAUCCUAUCUUAUAGCC